rnacentral:SRP_RNA from 1 species
GCCGGGAGUGGUGGCUCACGCCUGUAAUCCCAGCACUUUGGGAGGCUGAGGCAGGUGGAUCACCUGAGGUCAGGAGUUUGAGACCAGCCUGGCCAACAUGGUGAAACCCUGUCUCUA